rnacentral:rRNA from 1 species
GUGUUAAUUUUAGUUAACCUGGGUAAUAUUAGUUAAGGUCUUUAAACCCAAAGAAUUUGGCGGUAUUUCAUUCCAUUCAGAGGAACCUAUCUCGUAAUUGAUAGUACACGAUUAACUUUACUUGAUUUAUUUGUUUGUAUAUCUCCGUUAUCAGAAAAUCUUUUUGGAGUUAUAAUUUUCCUGUUUUUUCAUUAGAAAUUAUUUCAGGUCAAGGUGCAGCUUAUAAUCAAGUGUGUGAUGGGUUACAAUAAAUUUUUUUAUUAUGGAUUUAAUUUUGAAAAUUUUUAAUGAAGGUGGAUUUGAUAGUAAUUUAAUUUAUUUAAUUUAAUUGAUAUUGGCUCU